UUGGGUACCAGCUGGUGACUCUGGCAAGUUGCUGACCUCUGGGCUCCUCCUGCGGACGCGGUGUGUGCGAUCAUAAUAGAUGAGACUCUCCGCCUCGGAGGGGUUCCGCUGCACCGGCCCGCGGUGCCGGGCCACGUGAGCAGGGGCCGAGCGGGCUCCAGCCCGCGGCGGGCCCAGGUGGCUGGCACAGGGACCUCACCGCAUCGCGGUAGGGUCUCAGGGUCCAAGGCAGGUGCGGCUGUUCUCGGAAACCUGGCAACCCAUUGCGUAGAAUGUGGCGUUGGACUUUUAUCAGAACCUGGUGAGGAAAAUUGGUGAUGGGGAAGUUAGGGGCUUGCUGGCAGCUUGGGAAGACCAAGAAUGGUGACGACCCAUUCAAAAGCAUCUGUUCAGAUGGACAAAGCAGUUCUCAAAGGAAGGAUGACCCCAGAGCAAGACAAGACCCCCUGCCCCAUGCCCUCAUCUCAGGGCCUCUGGCUCUGCAUGCAGGGUAACAGGUAUUAUAUUCCACAUGCACCAUCAUUUGGAGAAGAAGAUACUUCCUUUACAAGAUCGUGUCUCUUUGCUUUUCUGUAUCUGUUACUGUGACUUGGUUUGAAAAGUGUUCGUUCCUAUAAAAAGACCCCAUAGGCCAGAUGCAGUGGUGGCAGUGAAGGAGGGGAGUUGGAAGGGUGGGAAGGACAGACGGUGAGCCUCAAGGUAUCCUGAGACCUUUGGAUAAAGCAAAAGCCCAAAUCAUAGGUGAGAGACUGCCAAGUUCCUAACCCUAAGAAGGACCAUGCCAAAACCAGAUUCAAAGGGCAAGGUGGGUUACUAACAUAAUAUAAUAAUUUAAAAAAAAAAAAGGGCAAGGUGGGGAGAACACAUUAGCGAGAUCAAUAAGGUUCGAUGCUAAGAGAAUCUAUUACAGUAUGUAGUGGAGAAUGGGAAGUGCAGGGAGUCCCCGACCAAGAUGGUCAACAGUCAAGGUGGCAGCUCAGUGCAUUACUUGGUGGAUGGUGCACGGUGAGAAGCCCAGGUGCAGAGACUGCUCAUGUCCCUGUGAGCAGGAGUUAGACUGCUCAUAUCUCUGCAGCAGGUGUCCCUAAGUGUUAUUAACACCCGCUGUGGUCAACAAAGCAGGGGAUGGGGCACAAUUGGUGAUUCUUGCAUUAUCACAACCACUAUUGUUAUGCAGAGUAAAAGACCUACUUCCUUCUUCCCUUUGAGAGAAUUUUUGCUGGGGAGCUCCAUUUCUUCAUGCUCCACUUUUUCGCCCCCACCCCUACUAAUGCUCCCACAGGGAAGAGGAGGUGUGAUGUGAUAGGUCAAGUUCUGGACUCUCGUAGGAACUUUAGAAAGAGGGCAACACCCCACACCCUUCCUGGUACUUCCUGCUUCCUCAUGGGUGCACACCACGCGGGUCCCUCUUUUGAUGUUUCAUGUGGAGCCCGUAAGCGGACAAGGCAGGCCUCAAAGAUGCAGGCAUGGCUUUGUCCUCUGGACUCCAGACUGAGUGGAUGAGUUAGGCCUACUUUCAGAUUCAGGGGAAGGAAGUAAGAAGCCGUGUCAGACUUCCAGGCCUCCACCAUGUUCCCCGACUCAGUUAUACCAAAAACACCUACACUGGGGGUUAUGGAGUAGUGGCGCUCAGAUAGUAAGAAAAUAGUCCUUUGGUUUCCAUUCUGCUCGUGUCUCCUGGCUUUAAACGCUAGCUCUCUGCUGACGAUCCUCAAAUCUCUUUCUGGGCCCUGGAUCUGUAUAUCUGACAGUCUACUUGGCAUCUCCUAAGGCUGUCUACUGAGCACGCCAUUUUUCACGCGGCCUAAAUGAGCUGCUGGUCUUCUCUUUCCAGGCCUGCCGUCGGCGCCAGCUCAGUGAAUGGCAAGUCCUUUCCUCCAGCUUUCCAGGCUGAAGACCUUGGUGUUAUUCCUGACUUCCUGCCUCUGUCCCUACUGCCCCGCCAUCAUCUCUUGUGUCAUGGAUCCCUGGGGAGCCUCCUGACUCAUCUGUCUGCUCUUUUUGCUUCUACCCUUGCCCCUGCUCCCCACACCAUGGGCCAUUCCUGACCAGAGUGGUUCUGUGAACUUGGAGGUCGGAUCAUGUCACUAAUCUGCACCAAACCCUUUAAUGCUCCUUAAUGACACCCUGUCUCUGUCUCUAUCUCUCACACACACACCUUCCUAUGACUUACACGACCCAACAAGAUCUGGCUCCCCCUUACCUCUCUGACUGUACCUUCUAUUACUUUCUUCCUCAUUUUCUCACACACUGGCCUCCUGGCUAGUCUUUGAGUGGGCCUGUCAUGCUCUUACCUCAGGGCCUUUGCACAUACUGUUGCCUUUUUCUGAAAAGCUCUUCUCAAUACCUAUGUAGUGAGCUCCUUCAUUCCAGUCAAUUCUUUACUCAGUGGGGUCUUUCUGACUACCUUCUCUGAGAUCUCAACCCUGUAACAUUUUAUAUCUCCCUUUCCUGCUUUAUUCUUUUUUCUCUCUGGAAGUUCUUUCCAUCUCACCGUUUAGAUACUUUACUGUCUUGUAUAUUGUCUGUCUCCCCAGCAAGAAAGAGAGGUGCCAGGGGGAGUGUCAGCUAUUUUGUUUACUGCUCCUUGUUAGAGUUCUGGGUACAGUAGCUGCCCCAUAAAUACCUGUUGGAAAAUAAUGAGUCAACGAAGCACGUGGAAAGGUGCUCCACCUCAUUAGUCCUGGAGGAAAUGCAAAUCAAAGCCACAACAAGAUCCCACUUCAUCCCGCUAGAAUGGUUAUUACAAAAAAGACCCACAGUCACGGGUGGCGAGCGUGGGAAGAAGCAGGGCCCCCUUACGCGGCUGGGAGAAUCGUACAACGGGGCAGCCUAUUUGUAUCACAGCGUGGCAGUCUUUAAAAGCAAAACGUCAACUUACCCUGUGACCCAGCAAUUCUACUCCCAGGUGUCUACACAAGAGAAACAAAGAAUUGUGUCUAUGCAAAGACUUGUAUGCAAAUGUUCCCAACAACGGUCUUGGUAAUCCCCCCAAAUGGAAACUCCCCAAAUGUCCAUCAGCAGGUGCCUGGCUGAGCAAAAUAUGACAUAGCCAUGCAAGGGAAUACUAGUCAGCAGUCAGAAGGUGUGAACUACAGAUACGACAUGGACGAACCCCAAACACGUGCAAAAUGAAAAUAGACACAGGGGACUGUGUGUGAAAUGUCCACAGAAGGCAAAUCUAGAGAGAAAGAACACAGAUUUGUGGU